rnacentral:rRNA from 1 species
AACGAACGCUGGCGGCAGGCUUAACACAUGCAAGUCGAACGCCCCGCAAGGGGGAGUGGCGCACGGGUGAGUAACGCGUGGGAAUAUGCCCUUCGGUUCGGAAUAACACAGGGAAACCUGUGCUAAUACCGGAUACGAUCUACGGAUGAAAGAUUCAUCGCCGAGGGAGUAGCCCGCGUCAGAUUAGCUAGUUGGUGGGGUAAUGGCCUACCAAGGCGACGAUCUGUAGCUGGUCUGAGAGGAUGAUCAGCCACACUGGGACUGAGACACGGCCCAGACUCCUACGGGAGGCAGCAGUGGGGAAUAUUGGACAAUGGGGAAACCCUGAUCCAGCCAUGCCGCGUGAGUGAUGAAGGCCUUAGGGUUGUAAAGCUCUUUCGUCGGGGGAAGAUAAUGACGGGUACCCGAAGAAGAAGCCUCGGCUAACUCCGUGCCAGCAGCCGCGGUAAU